UACGGAGGGUGCAAGCGUUAUCCGGAUUCACUGGGUUUAAAGGGUGCGUAGGAGGGCAGGUAAGUCAGUGGUGAAAUCCCCGAGCUUAACUUGGGAACUGCCGUUGAUACUAUCUGUCUUGAAUAUUGUGGAGGUGAGCGGAAUAUGUCAUGUAGCGGUGAAAUGCUUAGAUAUGACAUAGAACACCAAUUGCGAAGGCAGCUGGCUACACGAAUAUUGACACUGAUGCACGAAAGCGUGGGGAUCAAACAGG
rnacentral:rRNA from 1 species